rnacentral:rRNA from 1 species
AGUGAACGCUGGCGGUAGGCCUAACACAUGCAAGUCGAACGGCAGCACAGUAAGAGCUUGCUCUUACGGGUGGCGAGUGGCGGACGGGUGAGGAAUACAUCGGAAUCUACUUUUUCGUGGGGGAUAACGUAGGGAAACUUACGCUAAUACCGCAUACGACCUACGGGUGAAAGCGGGGGAUCUUCGGACCUUGCGCGAUUGAAUGAGCCGAUGUCGGAUUUGCUAGUUGGCGGGGUAAAGGCCUACCAAGGCGACGAUCCGUAGCUGGUCUGGGAGGAUGAUCAGCCACACUGGAACUGAGACACGGUCCAGACUCCUACGGGAGGCAGCAGUGGGGAAUAUUGGACAAUGGGCGCAAGCCUGAUCCAGCCAUACCGCGUGGGUGAAGAAGGCCUUCGGGUUGUAAAGCCCUUUUGUUGGGAAAGAAAAGCAGCAGGUUAAUACCCCGCUGUUCUGACGGUACCCAAAGAAUAAGCACCGGCUAACUUCGUG